AUUGAACGCUGGCGGCAUGCCUUACACAUGCAAGUCGAACGGCAGCACGGGGGCAACCCUGGUGGCGAGUGGCGAACGGGUGAGUAACAUAUCGGAACAUACCCUAGAGUGGGGGAUAACGUAGCGAAAGUUACGCUAAUACCGCAUACGAUCUAAGGAUGAAAGUGGGGGAUCUUCGGACCUCAUGCUCAUGGAGUGGCCGAUAUCUGAUUAGCUAGUUGGUGAGGUAAAGGCUCACCAAGGCGACGAUCAGUAGCUGGUUUGAGAGAACGACCAGCCACACUGGAACUGAGACACGGUCCAGACUCCUACGGGAGGCAGCAGUGGGGAAUUUUGGACAAAUGGGGGCAACCCUGAUCCAGCAAUGCCGCGUGAGUGAAGAAGGCC
rnacentral:rRNA from 1 species